UGGCUGCUGGGCCCUGUGCACAAAUCAGCUGGGCGUCCAUGAGAGCUGGGAGCAAAGAGGCUCAGAUUCCCCAUGCACCAACCGGCCAUCAUGCCCCUUCCCGGACUCAUUGGCCGGUAAGGUGAAGUCAUUUUUUUCCCCCUG